CAGCACUUUGAAUGACAAUUUACUAAAAUUGGAAUGACACAGAGAAGAUUAGCAUGACCCCCGCACAAGGAUGACAUGCAAAUUCACGAAGUAUUCUAUACUUUA